UACGUAGGGCGCAAGCGUUGUCCGGAAUUAUUGGGCGUAAAGAGCUCGUAGGCGGCCUGUCGCGUCCGCUGUGAAAUCCCGGGGCUUAACCCCGGGCGUGCAGUGGAUACGGGCUGGCUAGAGGCAGGCAGGGGAGAACGGAAUUCCCGGUGUAGCGGUGGAAAUGCGCAGAUAUCGGGAGGAACACCGGUGGCGAAGGCGGUUCUCUGGGCCUGUUCUGACGCUGAGGAGCGAAAGCGUGGGGAGCAAACAGG
rnacentral:rRNA from 1 species